CUACUACGUGCAAGGCGCUGGCAGUCCAGGAGGAAUAGGCCUUCGUCCCUGUCCCCGGAAAUGGGCCUGGAACGAGAAGGCUGGAGCUGAAGAUGGAUUGGCUAGAAGGCAACAGCCGACGUACAGGGCAAACGCGUUAGAGGCCAGGUGCUAAGGAGGUUGUUAAAUCUGCCCGCGGGUAUGAAGGAAGGCUUCUAAGGGAGGUCGCCACGGGUGACCUUUCAGCUGUAUCAGAAGGAGCUGAUAUAACCGGAGGAGUACCAGGCGUGAAGAGGAGACGGAGAGCAGAUAAAACUAAGACAGAGGAGAGGCAUGUUCCAACUGCAAGGCUUCUAAUUUGUGGAUGCAGACAAAAGCAACAAGAUCUCCUUACCUGUGACCACUAUCCAUGCCUACUGCCCUGCUCUAGGCUCCCCUCAGAUUCCUAAGACACCUUUCCUCCCCCAUCCAUCAAUGUUUGAUCACCGGGUGGGGGGGGGGGAAUAAAUCACAAGCACAGGUCCAGCAGAGACCACCAAAAUAACCUGUUGAUCAAUCAAAGCCAAGUUUAUUGCUUACAGCAGUAAGAGAGACCACUAUGUUGACAGUCUCAGUAGUGUCUCAAAGAGGAAGGUCAAGGGUAGGAUAGUUAUAAGAUUCAGGGGAUCUGGUUUAAGACAGGUCUCUCAGUAAAAGAGCAUGGUUGAGACUGGGCUAAAUUUGUGAUAUAGUAGUUUAGGAUGAGUGGACACAGGGAGGGGAGAGUUUUGAAGCAAGCCUAAAAGAGUAAGCAGUUGUUCAAUAAACCCAAAAGAGUAAUCUUGUUGAGGGGGGGGCUGUUUACCCUGACGAAGGCUGGGUCAGUCAGUAGUCUGUUGUUCAGAUAAGUGGACUUUGAAGAAGUUCUUGAAGCUGCACUUAAGUUAUUUGCAACUUCUCUGGCAAGAAUUUCUUGGAAUUAAAGUCAUGUUUAUGCAGCCAG